rnacentral:rRNA from 1 species
GAUGAACGCUGGCGGCGUGCCUAAUACAUGCAAGUCGAGCGAACAGACGAGGAGCUUGCCCCUCUGACGUUAGCGGCGGACGGGUGAGUAACACGUGGAUAACCUACCUAUAAGACUGGGAUAACUUCGGGAAACCGGAGCUAAUACCGGAUAAUAUAUUGAACCGCAUGGUUCAAUAGUGAAAGACGGUUUUGCUGUCACUUAUAGAUGGAUCUGCGCCGCAUUAGCUAGUUGGUAAGGUAACGGCUUACCAAGGCGACGAUGCGUAGCCGACCUGAGAGGGUGGUCGGCCACACUGGAACUGAGACACGGUCCAGACUCCUACGGGAGGCAGCAGUAGGGAAUCUUCCGCAAUGGGCGAAAGCCUGGCGGAGCAACGCCGCGUGAGUGAUGAAGGUCUUCGGAUCGUAAAACUCUGUUAUUAGGGAAGAACAAAUGUGUAAGUAACUAUGCACGUCUUGACGGUACCUAAUCAGAAAGCCACGGCUAACUACGUG